AGCCUCGUGGUCUAAUGGUACGACAUAAGCAUUCUAUUAGGACGAGAGUGAAUAAUAGCUCGAGAUUGCGGGUUCGAGUCCCGCCGGGGUUG